AUGAAUUGGAAAUGGAUCAUUCUCUUUCUUAUGUCAGUAACUACAGGUAUAGAAUCCCAGGUCCAGCUGCUGCAGUCUGAAGCUGAGCUAGGGAAACCAGGGUUCUCAGUGAAGCUGUCCUGCAAGGCUUCAGGCUACACCUUCACUGGCUAUACUAUAAACUGGGUGAAGCAGAGGCCUGGUCAAGGACUGGAGUGGAUUGGAAGGAUUUAUUCUAUAAGUGGUAAUACUGACUAUUCUCAGAAGUUACAGGGCAAGGCUACACUGUCUGCAGACAAAUCUUCCAGCACAGCCUAUAUGGAGCUAAGCAGGCUGACAUCUGAAGACUCUGAAGUCAGUGUUGAAACCACAUCCUGA